rnacentral:sRNA from 1 species
AUCCUCCAAAUGUACAUAUUAUUG